rnacentral:rRNA from 1 species
CCCUUAGACGUUCUGGGCCGCACGCGCGCUACACUGACCAGUGCAACAAGCAUCCGUCCUUGGCCGACAGGCCCGGGCAAUCUUUGAACGCUGGUCGUGAUGGGGAUAGACUUUUGCAAUUUUUGGUCUUCAACGUGGAAUUCCUAGUAAACGCAAGUCAUCAACUUGCAUUGAUUACGUCCCUGCCCUUUGUACACACCGCCCGUCGCACCUACCGAUUGAAUGGUCCGGUGAAGCCUCCGGAUUGGCGCGCACCUCGGUGCCGCCGAGAAGUUGGCUAAACCUUACCAUUUAGAGGAAGGUGAAGUCGUAACA